UCAAAUUACGGGUCCGGGGUAUGUUUUCCCAAAAUAUUGACCGAAGUCAAAUUUAUUCAACUUAAUAUUUUGGUAUUUUUCCCACGGAAUUCAUAUUUAAUCUUUUACGGCUACGCGCUCGAACUGCACACGCAAAUCGAGGCAAUACUAGAUGAGAUUUUCAAGGCCCCAAAAGUACAAAAUGGGUAAAAAAAACAAGUGAUGACCCCUUCGGAUCAUCACAUCCUCCACCACUAAAUUAACCAUUCGUCCUCGAACGGACAAAAGAAGGAAGUACCUGAGUCGGGAAAAAGAUGAGGAUAACGGCUCCGCAUAUCAGAUUCGGACUCCCAGGUCGAUGCCUCGGGAGACUGACCUCUCCACUUGACACGAACAGAAGGAAAACUCUUAGACCUCAACUGACAAACUUUUUGGUCUAGAAUAUCUACCGGCUCCUCCUCAUAAGACAAGUCUUUGUCCAACUGGACAAUGCUGAAAUCUAACACGUGGGUUGGGUCGUCAUUAUACCUCCGGAGCAUGGAUACAUGAAAAAUGGGAUGCAUGUCUGAUAAGCUGGGCGGCAAUGCAAGUCUAUAAGCUACUUUUCCCACCCGAUCAAGAAUCUCAAAUGGAGCAAUGAACCUAGGGCUAAGGUUGCCCUUCUUUCCAAAUCACGGCUGUCAUAGGUGACACUGGAGCAAUACCCGCUCACCAACUAUAAAUGCCAUAUCUCGACCUUGCGUUCUGCAUAACUCUUUUGCCUAGACUGAGCUGAAUGAAGCCUAUGUUGAAUGAUCUUGUCCUUGUCCAAGGCCUCUUGAAUCAAAUCUGUACCUAACAACCGAGCUUCUCCUGGCUCAAACCGUCCAAAUAACCAAAUCCUAGCUAAUACCAGCGAGCACACACCCUACAAACUAGAACUCAAGAAGCAUGCACGAAGAUUGAUGAAGCAUAAGGGAACUAUCAAACAAGUCAAACUAGCACAAAUUUUCUAAAACACUAAUCUACAAACAUCUAACAAGAAGGAAUGAAACAUAUAAAAUACUCACAAGGAUCUUAUACUGAUA
rnacentral:lncRNA from 1 species